CCUACGGGAGGCAGCAGUGGGGGAUAUUGCACAAUGGGGGAAACCCUGAUGCAGCGACGCCGCGUGUGGGAAGACGGUCCUCUGGAUUGUAAACCACUGUCCCCAGGGACGAAGAUGACGGUACCUGGGGAGGAAGCUCCGGCUAACUACGUGCCAGCAGCCGCGGUAAUACGUAGGGAGCGAGCGUUGUCCGGAAUUACUGGGUGUAAAGGGAGCGUAGGCGGGACUGCAAGUUGGGGGUAAAAUCUACGGGCUCAACCGGUAGCCGCACUCAAAACUGCAGGUCUUGAGUGAAGUAGAGGCAGGCGGAAUUCCUAGUGUAGCGGUGAAAUGCGUAGAUAUUAGGAGGAACACCAGUGGCGAAGGCGGCCUGCUGGGCUUUUACUGACGCUGAGGCUCGAAAGUGUGGGGAGCAAACAGGAUUAGAUACCCGUGUAGUC
rnacentral:rRNA from 1 species